rnacentral:rRNA from 1 species
AUUGAACGCUGGCGGCAUGCUCUACACAUGCAAGUCGAACGGUAACAGGUUAAGCUGACGAGUGGCGAACGGGUGAGUAAUGCAUCGGAACGUGCCCGGUCGUGGGGGAUAACGCAGCGAAAGCUGCGCUAAUACCGCAUACGAUCUGAGGAUGAAAGCGGGGGAUCGUAAGGCCUCGCGCGAUCGGAGCGGCCGAUGUCAGAUUAGGUAGUUGGUGGGGUAAAGGCUCACCAAGCCGACGAUCUGUAGCUGGUCUGAGAGGACGACCAGCCACACUGGGACUGAGACACGGCCCAGACUCCUACGGGAGGCAGCAGUGGGGAAUUUUGGACAAUGGGCGCAAGCCUGAUCCAGCAAUGCCGCGUGCAGGAAGAAGGCCUUCGGGUUGUAAACUGCUUUUGUACGGAGCGAAAAGGCUCUCUCUAAUACGGAGGGCUCAUGACGGUACCGUAAGAAUAAGCACCGGCUAACUACGUGCCAGCCGCCGCAGUAAUAC